rnacentral:rRNA from 1 species
GACGAACGCUGGCGGCGUGCCUAAUACAUGCAAGUAGAACGCUGAAGAGAGGAGCUUGCUCUUCUUGGAUGAGUUGCGAACGGGUGAGUAACGCGUAGGUAACCUGCCUGGUAGCGGGGGAUAACUAUUGGAAACGAUAGCUAAUACCGCAUAAAAUGGAUUAUCGCAUGAUAAUCCAUUGAAAGGUGCAAACGCAUCACUACCAGAUGGACCUGCGUUGUAUUAGCUAGUUGGUGGGGUAACGGCUCACCAAGGCGACGGUACAUAGCCGACCUGAGAGGGUGAUCGGCCACACUGGGACUGAGACACGGCCCAGACUCCUACGGGAGGCAGCAGUAGGGAAUCUUCGGCAAUGGACGGAAGUCUGACCGAGCAACGCCGCGUGAGUGAAGAAGGUUUUCGGAUCGUAAAGCUCUGUUGUAAGAGAAGAACGAGUGUGAGAGUGGAAAGUUCACACUGUGACGGUAUCUUACCAGA